AUGUUCCAGCAGCACAAAUACUAAAAAUGGAACAAUACAGAGAAGAUUAGCAUGGCCCCUGAGCAAGGAUGACAAGCAAACUGGUGAGGCAUUCCAUAUUUUA